AAUGGGCGGAAGCCUGAUGCAGCGACGCCGCGUGAGGGAUGACGGCCUUCGGGUUGUAAACCUCUUUCGCCAGGGACGAAGCCGCUUGCGGUGACGGUACUUGGAGAAGAAGCACCGGCCAACUACGUGCCAGCAGCCGCGGUAAUACGUAGGGUGCGAGCGUUGUCCGGAAUUACUGGGCGUAAAGAGCUCGUAGGCGGUUUGUCGCGUCGUCUGUGAAAUUCUGCAGCUUAACUGCAGGCGUGCAGGCGAUACGGGCAGACUUGAGUACUACAGGGGAGACUGGAAUUCCUGGUGUAGCGGUGAAAUGCGCAGAUAUCAGGAGGAACACCGGUGGCGAAGGCGGGUCUCUGGGUAGUAACUGACGCUGAGGAGCGAAAGCGUGGGGAGCGAA
rnacentral:rRNA from 1 species